rnacentral:rRNA from 1 species
GGUUAAGUUAGAAAGGGCGCACGGUGGAUGCCUUGGCACUAGGAGCCGAAGAAGGACGGGACUAACACCGAUAUGCUUUGGGGAGCUGUACGUAAGCGUUGAUCCAGAGAUUUCCGAAUGGGGGAACCCACUAUCUUUAGUCGGAUAGUAUCCUUACGUGAAUACAUAGCGUGAGGAAGGCAGACCCAGGGAACUGAAACAUCUAAGUACCUGGAGGAAGAGAAAGAAAAAUCGAUUUCCUGAGUAGCGGCGAGCGAAACGGAAAGAGCCCAAACCAAGAAGCUUGCUUCUUGGGGUUGUAGGACACUCUAUA